rnacentral:rRNA from 1 species
AACGAACGCUGGCGGCGUGCCUAACACAUGCAAGUCGAACGUGAUUAGAGAGCUUGCUCUCUAUGAAAGUGGCGCACGGGUGAGUAACGCGUAGAUAAUCUGCCUGAUGGUUCGGGAUAACACUUCGAAAGGGGUGCUAAUACCGGAUAAGCCGACGGGGUCCUUGGACUCUGCGGGAAAAGGGGGGGAUCGCAAGACCUUCCGUCAUCAGAUGAGUCUGCGUACCAUUAGCUAGUUGGUAGGGUAAAGGCCUACCAAGGCGACGAUGGUUAGCUGGUCUGAGAGGAUGAUCAGCCACACUGGAACUGAGACACGGUCCAGACUCCUACGGGAGGCAGCAGUGGGGAAUUUUGCGCAAUGGGGGAAACCCUGACGCAGCAACGCCGCGUGAGUGAUGAAGGCCCUUGGGUCGUAAAGCUCUGACAGAGGGAAAGAAGUGUACGGUGGCUAAUAUCCAUUGUACUUGACGGUACCCUCAAAGGAAGCACCGGCUAACUCCGUGCCAGCCGCCGCAGUAAAAC